UGGAUAGCUCAGUCGGGUAGAGCAACGAAAUCUGAUUUCGUGUGUCGUGGGUUCGACUCCCACUCCA
rnacentral:tRNA from 1 species